AAAAAGGGUGCUCGCUACUUCUAUAGCGCGUCAGUACGGUCCACGCCGUGCUGGCGGGGUAUGGCCUAUCAAGACAUACCCAGUACGUAAUUUUUGUAAACGCGGGGCUGUUGGCUGCCAAUCUUUGCACCGACGCCUCC